rnacentral:rRNA from 1 species
GUGUCAGCAGCCGCGGUAAUACAGAGGUCCCAAGCGUUGUUCGGAUUCACUGGGCGUAAAGGGUGCGUAGGUGGUCGGGUAAGUCUGAUGUGAAAUCUCCGAGCUUAACUCGGAAAUGGCAUUGGAUACUAUUCGGCUAGAGGGUUUGAGGGGGGACUGGAAUACUUGGUGUAGCAGUGAAAUGCGUAGAUAUCAAGUGGAACACCAGUGGCGAAGGCGAGUCCCUGGAAAACUCCUGACACUGAGGCACGAAAGCUAGGGGAGCAAACAGGAUUAGAAACCCUCGUAGUCC